UGGGGAAUUUUGGACAAUGGGGGAAACCCUGAUCCAGCCAUCCCGCGUGUGCGAUGAAGGCCUUCGGGUUGUAAAGCACUUUUGGCAGGAAAGAAACGUCGUGGGUUAAUACCCCGCGAAACUGACGGUACCUGCAGAAUAAGCACCGGCUAACUACGUGCCAGCAGCCGCGGUAAUACGUAGGGUGCAAGCGUUAAUCGGAAUUACUGGGCGUAAAGCGUGCGCAGGCGGUUCGGAAAGAAAGAUGUGAAAUCCCAGAGCUUAACUUUGGAACUGCAUUUUUAACUACCGGGCUAGAGUGUGUCAGAGGGAGGUGGAAUUCCGCGUGUAGCAGUGAAAUGCGUAGAUAUGCGGAGGAACACCGAUGGCGAAGGCAGCCUCCUGGGAUAACACUGACGCUCAUGCACGAAAGCGUGGGGAGCAAACAGGAUUAGAUACCCUGGUAGUCCACGCCCUAAACGAUGUCAACUAGCUGUUGGGGUCUUCGGACCUUGGUAGCGCAGCUAACGCGUGAAGUUGACCGCCUGGGGAGUACGGUCGCAAGAUUAAAACUCAAAGGAAUU
rnacentral:rRNA from 1 species